AUACCGUGAUGUGGGCACUCCCUUUGAUAUUCCUUAAACCGAUCCCAUCCCUCGAACAAUCACUCAUCUCUCUGGUUAUCAAAUGAUUGGAUCUUGUGUCU
rnacentral:snoRNA from 1 species